ensembl:snRNA U6 U6 spliceosomal RNA
GUGCUCAUUUCGGCAGCACAUAUACUAAAAUUGGACCGAUACACAGAAGAUUAGCAUGGCCCCUGUACAAGGAUGACACACAAAUUUGUGAAGCUUUUCAUAUUUAA